CAAAUCAUUAUAACAUAAAGUCAUUUUUUUUUUUUUUUCAUAAAGACCAAAUGCAAUCAUGGAGAGGCCACAUCCAGACACCACCCACCAAGUCUUACGGGGCGGGGGGCUUCAGACACAGCUUUCCUCUCCUUCCCCCCUCCCAAUGGUAUCUGCUCCAGUAAGGGAGGCAGUUGCUGUCAGGGUUCCCGCAAUGCUAACUGGAUCAGUUGACAAAUGAAAAAUUCACCCCAACCAUCCUUGCUCCAUGUCUCAACACAUCAGCCAGCCUGUCUGCAUUUCAUACAGGCAGCCAGGACUCAGACGGCAUGACCUCAAAUGAGUCAGCUGUUGAAGGACACAGCCUAGGAGGCACUGGAUGUUUGCUAUCCAGGGCAGCAAGGGGGUCCUCUCUUCUUGACACUGACUUCUUUCAACCCCGUGGAAGAAAGAAACGCUUUUAAUUUGAGAGCCAAGUGAAGAAACUGCCUGUGAACUAGACAGAUUUAACCAACCUCUCUUAGUAGGUAAGCCGAUUCUCCAAUGUAACCCUAUCUUUGUCACUUUGGGAAUGAGCUAAAAUGCCUAUGUCCAGGCCCACACCUGGAGCGUUUGAUUACAUUUUGAGAGACACCGCUAUGAGCUGUCAGAGUAAUGAACAUCUUGAAUCUUCCAAGGUUUAAAGAGAAUUUAUUGAGUGCUUAUGCUCUAGUUAUUACUCUGAGUUCUUUACCUGCACUCACUUAUUUUAUCUCCUUAAUAACUUGAUGAGUUAGAUAUAAUUAUCAGCUUCAUUUUACAGAUAAGAAAACCAUGGCCCAGAGAGGUUAAGGAACUAGCCUGAGGUCAUAUAGCCAGACACAAAGGAGCCAUGAUUCAAACUCCCAGCCUGGCUCCAGAGCCGUACCCUUCCCCCCAUGCUGGAACUGCCAGACUGAGCAGGGCCUCACAUGCUACCUCCAGACCCUAUAAAGGCUGGGUUAGGGACUGAAUGGACUGCAUGGGGAUUUCUUUUUUCUCUUUUUUUGCCUUUUAAGGCCACAUCUCUGGCAUAUGGAAAUUCCCAGGCUAGGAGUCCAAUUGGCAUUGUAGCGGCCGGUCGACACCACAGCUGCAGCGACGCUGUGGGAUCUGAGCCAUGUCUGUGGCCUACACCACGGCUCACAGCAAUGCCAGAUCCUUAACCCACUGAGUGAGGCCAGGGAUGGAACCCGAAUCCUCAUGGAUGCUAGUCAGACUCCCUUCCACUGAGCCACGAUGGGAACUCCUUCAUGGGGAUUUCUUGAUGCCACUCUCAAAACUCACCUGUCCUAUGUCUGUUCUCUCACAUUCCUGCUCUGUAGCCAGAAAUAAGCUAGGAAUAACCUUGAACUGCCUUUCAGGACCUUAUUUUUAAAGAUAAUUUUUCCCUUUCUGAUUACAAUUAUAAACUGAGUUUGGAGCAGCAUAUUGGUGCGUGUUAACAUCUUGUAGAACAAAUGAAUGAAUGAAUGAAUGCAUAAGUGACUCCGCAUGACCAGAAACAAGAGGAACCCUGUGGCACCCUAGGUAGCAGUCAUAUGAAUCCCGGGUGAAAUAUUAUCCCUGAUCACUGCUGGGUUUGGCGCUUCCCAAACACCUCAUUGGAAAUGGAGACAGUAAUUCAAAAGCAGCACUUAAUCAUAGUGUUAGAUGGUGCAGCUAAGCAUCAACAUCCACAUGCUUCCACAAGGAAAGAAGCAUGUUAUUAACGUUAAAUCAUCAGAGUAGGUUGCAGAAAGAACUGAGCAUGGAAUGAUGCCUUCCCAGUUCAGGGUCUAAAAGAUGGAUUGAGCAGUAAGUAACCCAAAUUUGUAGAUGAGGCCUUUGGUACCAACUGGCUGGGCAUUUGGGGGCAAGUCACUUUAACUCUAUGGGCCUCAGUUUCCUCCCUUGUAAAGGAAGGGGCAUAAAGCUGGUGGUCCCUCUAGAUUUAUGAUUCAAACCCAAGCUUCCCUUACCCUCAACUCAUGCAGUUUCCACUAUUUUAUUUAUGUCAUCCUAAUACAUGUUUCCGGAGUUAAAUAUACAUGGGUUUUCUAACUUAACACUUUCUAGGUCUGUGACUUGGCACAGAACACUUUAUAUCAUGAAGUGAUAUACGUAAUUUGUUACGUGAGAUAUGUAAAAAUUUGUUUAUGUAAGGGGACAAUGAUGCUAUUGAUUGAUGGCCUAACCAACUGUUGACAACAGAGUGCUGUUUCAGUCAGGUAUUCAUGUCAAUGUGUCUUAUGCCAGGGGAUUAAUUUUUAUUUCUAGAUUGGUCAUAGUGAUCCUAUUCCCAUUUGUCAAUGACUGCUUAAGUUAGGCCAUAUGACCAUUUCUGGACCAUGGAUCCAAAGGGAAAUCUGCUGAAGAAUAUUGGGAAAGAUUUCCCUCCCUGACAACAAGAGAGACUUGAGAAAACAGCAAGCCCAUCUUUCUUGCUUCAUAAUUUUAGACAUUACUGUGUGAUUCUAUGAUGGUUGGUGCCACAGCAGCCAUCUUGCAAUCAUGAGGGGGAAAAAAAAGAAAACAUCUAACUCUAGAAAUAAAUAUCUCCACUGGUCAGCCAUUUUUACAUGUUGUAGGAUCUGAAAAUUACACUAUGUUGUAUACACUCUUUAAGUAAAAGAAUACAGAAUUUAAAAUGUGAAAAUUAGAUAUGAAAAUAAAUAUUUAUUUAGAAUGAGAAGGGAAGCCACAGCAGUAUCCAAAUUUUAAAACCUGAUAAAUGCCCACAUCAUAAAAAUUUUAAAAAUAAUAGUUUUUGUUACAAUCUGACUAAUAAACCUCUAUAAUAUUUCUAUUCUACAUGUUGAGGCUGUCCUCACAUAGAAAUGAUUUUAUAAAAAUACUUGCCAUAGAGAGAAUAAUUUUAACAUUUUUCUACAUGGCUAAUGAAAAAUUAAUAUGACCCUUGAUGGUUUAGGAAAUUUUAUUUCAGCUCCACAACUCAUUAUUAAUAAUGCCAUGAAAAACUUUAGGAUUUUCACUAAAUCUGGGAAAAGCUCUAAGUAGUUUGGGAGUUCCCUUUGUGGCGCAGCGGAAAUGAAUCUGACUAGGACCAUGAGGUUGCAGAUUCAAUCCCUGGCCUCUCUCAGUGGGUUAAGGAUCCAACUUAGCUGUGAGCUGUGGUGUAGGUCACAGACGUGGCUUGGAUCCUGCAUUGCUGUGACUGUGUGUAGCUCUGAUUCGACCCCUAGCCUGGGAAUGUCCAUAUGCCACCACCAGUGUGGCCCUAAAAAGACAAAAGACAAAGCUCUAGGUAUUUUUUUUUUUUCAGAAGUGGUUUAUGUGCCUUUCAAAAAUUUUCCACAGACUAGCUUCUGACUCCCUUUAAACCUAUUUUCUCCUUUGUUACCUGCAUUUCUUCUGUCCCCAUUUAAAUACCACCUCCGACCCUGGUGUUCUGGAUCAAUAUACCAAGAUGAGUCAGCACGGUGGUGGCAGGAGUACUCCUAGAAGCCAUAAGGAUAAGUUCUCCCAGGUAGCUUAGAGUAACUUUUCAUGUAGAGUAACUUGGAGUAACUAUACAUGAAAAUGAAUGAGAAUCACCUAAACAUAUCCCACUAAACCCCAUCCUACAAUAUUACUGCAGCCAAAUCCCAAAUCCCCAGAUGCUCCCAGCCCCUCCAGCAGCAACCACCACCAGGUGAUGUGUAACAAAGGAGAACUUCCAGGAGAAAGAAUCCCCACCCUUACCCCAUUGCCGUUCAUACAUCUGAGUUUGACAGAUUUUCCAAACAACUUCUGAUGAUAGGAACACAUUGCUAGGGCUUUAGACAUGCAAGUGAGAGGGUCCUAAAACUUAUGCAUUAUUUGCUUGCCAGGAAACACAUCUCCUGUAGAUGACAGGCAUAUGCUGUGAGACUUGAAUGAAUCCAUAAUAGAAAUAAAAGUGCCUAGCACAAUGUCUGGCACACAAUGGACUUUGGAAUGUGACAGCAACUAUUAGAGUAGUAAUCAGUAUUAUUGAAGAUGGUACCUCCCAUAAUACCUUCUUUUUUCCUCCUGAAUGUGUUUUCAUUGCUUGAAUCAAAGGACCAAAACAAGUCUUUGAUCUUUGACUCACACUUUUCUACUUCUGGGUGGACUUUUUUUUUUUUUAGGUCCACACCUGCAACAUACAGAAGUUCCUGCGCCAAGGAUCAAAUUCAAGCCACAGCAGUGACAAUGCCAAGUCCUUAACCACUAGGCAACCUGGGAACUCUGUACACACUUUAAAAAAUUAUUUUAUUGAAGUACAGUUGACUUACAAUGUUGUGUUAAUUUCUGCUGUACAGCACAGUGAUUCGGUUAUACAUAAAUACAUUCUUUUUCAUAUUCUUUUCCAUCACGGUUUAUCACAGGAUAGUGAACAGAGUUCCCUGUGUUCUACAGUUGGGUCUUGUUGUUUAUCCUUUCUAUAUAUAAGAGUUUGCAUCUGCUUAGCCCAAACUCCCAAUCCCUCCUUCCCCCACCGCCCCUUGGUCAGAUACAAUUUUAAGGUUCGUUUUCCAAUAUGAAACUUGUUCCUGAUAACCCUUUAGUUUUCAAGGGUUAACAUUUCCUAAGCAUGGUGAGGGUGAAGGUCUCUGUAAUGGCAGUGAACAGGAAAUCAAAAUGACGUCUUUCCAAUCAAUAGUUUUAUGAUUACUUUUUAAAAUUACAUCUUUGCCCUAAAAUUGGCAUGCUAUAUUUAGUCACCAUCACCAAGAGACAUCUGCCCAAUGAGGCAACGGCACUUUUUAUAAGUGAUACGUCAUCUAUUUAUUUCGGCAGCUAAGUACCUUCUGGCACAACAAACAGCCACCUUUGGAAACAAAGAUGGAAAUUUGGGUGCCUUAACAGAUAUGGGUUGUCUAAAAUUACAGACGGUGCUAAUUAACUGGAACACGGAAUUAGAACCUGCAGUUCAGAAAAUAUGCAGGAAAAAUAGAGUGUUUCUCAGAAACUUUAGCACCGGGGAGCUAAGCUGACUGUUUCAAGGAUGCGAAAUUGAUAAGAAUUACGUACCAUUGUUAAAUCUCAAUAAACAAAGCCUGACAUCUUGUGACUGAAUUAGAUCAUUUAUCUGCUCAAAGAGAGGGUGUUUAAAGUAAAUUCCCUUUCACUGAUAAAAAUUAUGAAUAAACCUAGUGAAAAAGAUACUAUCUGUGGGAGGGAAGCUGAAAUUGACCAUCACUUCAUUGAUGUUUAACAAAUUAAUUUUUUCUUGUUCUUUUUUUUUCUUUUUUUUCUUUUUUCUUCUUUUUAGGGCCGCACCCAUGGCACAUGGAGGUUCUCAGGCUAGGGGUCCAAUCGGAGCUACAGCUGCACCACAGCCAGAGCAUUGCAGGAUCCGAGCUGCAUCUGUGACCUACACCACAGCUCACGGCAAUGUGGGAUCCUUAACCCAGUGAGCAAGGCCAGGGCUCAAACUGCAUCCUCAUGGAUACUAGUCAGAUUCGUUUCCCUGAGCCACAAAGGGAACUCCUGUUAUUAGUAUUCUUGAAUUUCGAACAUGAAUGAAUUGCUUAGGAUAUUUAAAAAAAAAAAAAAUCAGGAGUUCCUGUCGUGGCUCAGUGGUUAAUGAAUCCGACUAGGAACCAUGAGGUUGUGGGUUUGAUCCCUGGCCUUGCUCAGUGGGUUAAGGAUCCAACUUAGCUGUGAGCUGUGGUAUACGACGUGGCUCGGAUCCUGCAUUGCUGUGGCUCUGGUGUAGGGCAGCGGCUACAGCUCCUAUUUGACCCCUAGGCUGGGAAUCUCCAUAUGCCAUGGGUGUGGCCCUA
rnacentral:lncRNA from 1 species